UGGGGAAUUUUGGACAAUGGGCGAAAGCCUGAUCCAGCAAUGCCGCGUGUGUGAAGAAGGCCUUCGGGUUGUAAAGCACUUUUGUCCGGAAAGAAAUCCUUGGCUCUAAUACAGUCGGGGGAUGACGGUACCGGAAGAAUAAGCACCGGCUAACUACGUGCCAGCAGCCGCGGUAAUACGUAGGGUGCAAGCGUUAAUCGGAAUUACUGGGCGUAAAGCGUGCGCAGGCGGUUUGCUAAGACCGAUGUGAAAUCCCCGGGCUCAACCUGGGAACUGCAUUGGUGACUGGCAGGCUAGAGUAUGGCAGAGGGGGGUAGAAUUCCACGUGUAGCAGUGAAAUGCGUAGAGAUGUGGAGGAAUACCGAUGGCGAAGGCAGCCCCCCGGGCCAAUACUGACGCUCAUGCACGAAAGCGUGGGGAGCAAACAGGAUUAGAUACCCUGGUAGUCCACGCCCUAAACGAUGUCAACUAGUUGUUGGGGAUUCAUUUCCUUAGUAACGUAGCUAACGCGUGAAGUUGACCGCCUGGGGAGUACGGUCGCAAGAUUAAAACUUAAAGGAAUUGACGGGGUCAUAGCUGUUUCCU
rnacentral:rRNA from 1 species